rnacentral:misc_RNA from 1 species
AGCAAAUAUAUAUUGACACAAUAAAAAGCCGAAACAAGAAAAUAGUAGAACUUCAGCCAUACGUAUCCCAAUAUCUUCGCAACACAAUCAAAGUACGAAGUAUUAGUCCUUCAAUAAAAUAUCGACUCCUGUACUCAUGUCACAUUUUAUGUAAUUCUUGAACAAGAAAAUAAUAUCAAUUGGUGUUCAAUUCAUACACGGAAACAUUUAAACUAAUAGCAUCCAGAAAGCAAAUGAUAGAUUCUUGACAGGAGUCAUUCACUUUCAGAAGCGAGACAUGUAUCAGCCUUCAAUUCAGGAACAAAAAUUUCAGUUGGUUCAAGACAUCCUCUCAAUGUGUCAUGCCCAAGUUGUGCUCUUUCAUUGUCUCCGAAUCCAAAUAUCCGCCCCUGGCUAGUGACUGCAACAGUGUGAUACAGACCUGUGCUGAUCUGAGAAACACGAUACGCUCUUAAGCUAUCAAGGAUUCGAGGUCUCAUCACUUUGUCAGAUACUCCCCUAUCAGGAAAACCAAGGCUACCAAACCCCAUCCAACCAAAGCCAUAAACAUGACCACUAUCAACCAGAACAAAUGUUUUCCUUUUUCUUGCACAAACCUAAAAGAUAACAUGCAAGAUCAUUGAUAGGGUCAAAUAAUACCUAACGAGAUGAGAACAUGCAUUAAAGAAAGCAUAAUGUGCAUCGUCUUAAGUAACUCCGCAGAUUGUUCAUUUGUUCUGCAGUAUCGAAGUUGCAUUUCAUGACAAAUUUACAUAGACAAAGAAAAAUUCAUUCAGAACUCAAAUAAAAGAGCUCAUAAAAAGUUGUCACAACAUGUGAUUAGCAUCAAAGAAGUGGAAGAGCUCCAAAGAAAAACAAAUGAACCUCACAACACACAAAAUCAGCUCAUCUACUGUUGUGAGUACCCAUAAAUAAUAAGCACAUAAAGGUGAAAUUGUUAACACAUCAAUGACAGCAGUAUUUUACUUCCAAACCCAAAAACCAUCAUAAUUCAGCAUUGUGCAUCCCAUUCCUCCUCAAUUUUUCACAUGCUUUUAAUUGUUGAGAGAAUUUAAAAUGCAGCCCAUUUAAGAUGGCAUCAAGAUAGCAUUCUCUCCCACAAUGAUAAGACAAUGGGAUCGCCACCAUUCAUUACAAAGAAACUUCCAACUGCCUCUUUUGUUUUUCAUUAGAUGCCUGUCAUCUAUAUUGGCCCAAUGUGUAAUGUUUGAGUUUUUGAAUGUAUUAAUAUUCAUGGAGUUAAUUCCUAGAAAAUGGGAUUUAUAGUGAAGGGAACUUGGCCGCCAAGCUUGAAUUUGACUUGUCUCGGUAUGAAAUUUUUGUUAACAUCAGCAACCCAGCCUCAAACCCACCUCUGAAUUCACUGAGCAUCCAUCAAGCUUAGUUCAAACUGGUAGGUCAUGUCCCAAGCACAAAGGCCAAUGAGAAUGUUUCAAAAGAAGAAUUUAUGGGACUUCCUCUUUAUAGUUUAAAGUUAUUUCAGAUUAGGGAUCAUUAAUUUAUUUUUAGGUUUAAUCAAUCUUAAUAUGUCAGAUUCAUGGGUUUUAGUAGAUGACUUAAGAGUUUGAUCUACCUCAGUUUCAAAUGAUAACUGAGAAUGUGGUACAAAAAUUGUCAAUUGGGAAGGUGCAUACAGAUACCAGUGAACUAGGAAAGCUACAGAACAUGUUCCCAAAGUUUUGGAACCAUUUCCAAUAAUGCUAGUCCCGAAGUGAGGAAGAAAGAGAGGAGAGAGAGAACUUAAUUCACUAGUUAUUACCAUUUUUUGAGGGAAUAAGAUGGCCGUGCAAAUAGCUUCUGGUACACACAUCUAAUUUGUUCAGAACAUCCUAAUAGGAUUCUGUCCCUUUAGAAUGAACUAUAUGUGGACUACAACAAAUGUAUGUUUUUCAUGUGAUCUUAAUGGAAGUCAAUGACAACCAAGCAAAGAUUAAGCAAACCUGCACAGCAAGGUGACUCUUAAGGCUAUUCAAGGGUUCUGGAAGAGUCUUAUCAAUCUCAUCUCCAUGGCCCAAUGCACCGCAGUAACCUUUUCCCCAUGUAUAAACCUACAACCACCAUAGCAGAAAAUUAAAUCUCUUGCAAGAGUUUAGAGGCAGGACACAAAGCACCAUGUAUAACCAAAAGUCUUUUAACGCUGAAACUAACAAAUCCACUGGAAUCAAGUGCCACAGCAUGUUCAUCUCCAGCAGACACACGAACCACGUGAAUGCCCUUUCUCCUAAAGGUCUGAACUGCGCGAGGCAGGAACUCAUUAUGCUGCUCUCCAUGACCAAGACAGAAAUUAGAACCAGAUCCAAAAGAGUACACUGCCCCAUUAUCAGUAACAGCUAAGACAUAGCUCGGACCUGCUGCUAUCUGAACAAUUGAGCCAACUCCUUCAAGUGAUUCAAUGAUUUUGGGUGUUGGUCUAUCCACUGUGUCACCAUGACCAAGCUGCCCAUGUGUGUUGGUUCCACAACUAUAGACAUGGCCUUGUCUCGUAAGGAAAACAGUAAAGUUAAGUCCAGCAGCAACCUGCUUGCAAGGAACUCCCUUCAAUGCCUCAACAAGCCUAGGCCUAAAUAUGGGGCGGCUUGUAUCUUGAUGACCACAGCAAAAUGAUGAAUUAUCUCCACAUGUGAAAACCUUUCCAGACUCCAAAACAAAUGCAGCAUGAUUGUGGGAGGCUGAGACUUGAACCACAUGAGCCAAAUAUGGGAAACUAAUCCUGGUGAAUGCUACGCAUUGUGUUGUUUCAGGAGCAUGCCCAAGAACACCACACAAACUGGAACCACAAGAAUACACAGAUGAAUUGCUGAUCAGCAACGUGUGGUACCUUCCAGUUGUAAUCUGCAUAUUGCCUGCUGAAGUCUCGACCAUCCCAGAUGAUUCCUCCACAGCCUGCAAGAACCUCAAAACCCGCUUCCAAUUUCCUCCACACCGAUCAAACAAUUCUUUCUGGGCAUCAAGUGACAUCCCAUUAUAAACGCCAUGUGACAAACACAGCUGAAAUGCGGCAAAAUCUACCAUUGACUUGCAUUUGUUAGGGUAUAAACCAUGGCUCCCUCCAAAAGUCGUAGAAGUUAACUCUAAACAAACAAGAUCAACGGCACUAAGCCUGCCUGUCGUCAGUAUCUCCAAAAUCAAAUGCGAUGGCAAUUCCUCAAUUGAAACCAACCUAUACCUAUCUGCCAUUUUUGCCAAUUCUUCAGUUUUUGCCUCCACACCUAAAACUCACCAACCUUUUUACCCUCAAAUUUCAAAUUCAAGUCUUACUCACAAAAAUUAGCUCAACAGAGGGGAAAACAGAAGGAAAGAUGUCAAAUUUUCAGGCGAAAUCUAAAGCAAUUGAAGCAACAUAUAAAGAAAACAACAUCAGAGGGAAGAAAAAUAGAUGAAAUGGAGUACAAGAAAGGGGACCCAGAUGAAAAAUUCACGGGUUUUUGGUUCAAUGAUUGAAAAUAAAACAUCAGAAGGGACAAUUCACACACAAACCCCCGAGAGAUAAAUGGUAAAUUGUGUCAAAACACAAGCCAGCAAGUGGUGCUUUUCGGUGCCGAUCUCAACUUUUAAAACCGAAAUGUAUCAAACUAGCUUAAAAAAAAACAGUGAAUCAGAUCAGUGGAAAUUAAAAAGUGGAAAACGAAGAGAGAAACCAACAAGGGAAGGAAACAAUUAUCCCAGGC